GGUGCAGUGGACUGCACACACAUAAGGAUAAAAGCCCCCUCAGGUGCCCAUGAGGCCGAUUUUGUGAAUAGGAAAUCCUUUCACAGCAUUAAUGUUCAGAUGGUCUGCAAUGCUGACUGUGUGAUCAGCAAUGUUGUGGCAAAAUGGCCUGGCUCAGUCCAUGACUCCAGAAUCUUUCGGGCCUCUGAAAUCUAUCAGUGCCUAUCACAAGGUGAAUUCUCUGGUGUGUUGCUGGGAGACAGGGGGUAUGGCUGCCAGCCUUUUCUCCGGACAUCUUUCACAGACCCCCAGGAAGCACAGCAGGCCUACAACCAUGCCCAUGCCAGGACCAGGGCCAGAGUUGAAAUGACCUUUGGCCUCCUGAAGGCACGCUUUCACUGCCUUCACAAAUUAAGGGUCAGCCCUGUUAGGGCAUGUGAUAUUACUGUGGCUUGUGCUGUCCUCCACAAUGUGGCCUGCCUGAGGAAGGAGAGGGCCCCCAGAGUGCCACCAGCCAUGGACUGGGACAAUCCGGCAAUCUUCCCUGAUGACGACAGUGGUCGGCUGCUGAGGGACCAAUAUGUGUUGAAUUAUUUUAGUUAGUAUGUGUGCUUUCAAUUUUGGUUAAAUAUGUCCUGCGGUGGCAGAGGAAUUUGGUUUUUUUUGGGUUCGUUUUUUGACGAAUUUGGCCUCUUAUGAUGUUUGUGCGGUAUACUGUGUGUAAUACAAGGCUGCAGGGAGGCUACUGCAUCCAUUCAUUUGUCUGUUCAGUUGAUGUGUAUGGAUUUGUCCUGCAUUUAUUUUAGUGUGCAGACAUGCAGGGUGUGUUAUAUACAGACCUUUGAAUGUGUAUGUAUCAUUUUGUAUAAUAUGCUUGGAUUCUGUGCUUUCCAUCUUGUAGAGUCACUGUGACUUCAGUUUCGAAAGGAGCUGAUGGUUUACCUGCUUUGUUUUGUCCUUAUUCAAUAAAGGAACAUAAUGUUACACAUUGUGUUUUUAUAUUCAUA